rnacentral:piRNA from 1 species
UCUGAAUAAAAUUUGUAGUGAUU